GGGCGAUUAGCUCAGUUGGUAGAGCAGCUGACUCUUAAUCAGCGGGUCACAGGUUCGAGCCCUGUAUCGCUCA
rnacentral:tRNA from 1 species